GAACAUGAUGCAUGCAACCAGCCUCUCACAGAGUCAGCCCAGCAGCUGAGGGACUGAGAGGCUGAGGCCGGCGGCUCUUACGUCACCAUGAGGCUCCACUUCUGCUUCUGAAAGAGGCCCUAAGACAGCUCCUUCUGAAAGGAACACAAAUCACCCUCAGUCCUUUUCAGCUCUUAGGGACACUUAAAGAUAACGACUGCUCGCCGUGUCAAUUUAAAUGAAGUUGAUGACAAAAAGAUGCCUGUGAAGUUGGGAUGUAACCGAAGGAACACAGAAUUCCUGCUUGUUUGGAGGAGUUUGGUCUGAUUGCUUGGUGGCCAAACUGCAGCGGUCUGUGAGGGAGAUGAGCUGAAUGCAUGUCGCCUGAGA